rnacentral:rRNA from 1 species
AGAAUCAACGCUGGCGGCGUGCCUAACACAUGCAAGUCGAACGAGAAAGUGGAGCAAUCCACGAGUAAAGUGGCGCACGGGUGAGUAACACGUGACUAACCUACCCUUGAGUGGGGGAUAACCUAGGGAAACCUGGGCUAAUACCGCAUAAUACCCACGGGUCAAAGCAGCAAUGCGCUUGGAGAGGAGUUCGCGGCCGAUUAGCUAGUUGGCGGGGUAAUGGCCCACCAAGGCGAUGAUCGGUA